GCGGCCCGGCGGGCCUGGCGGCGCCGCAGCCCAUGGAGCUCGAGAACAUCGUAGCGAACACGGUGCUCCUCAAGGCCCGGGAAGGUGGUAGCGGGAAUCGCAAAGGCAAAAGCAAGAAAUGGCGGCAGAUGCUGCAGUUCCCCCAUAUCAGCCAGUGUGAAGAGCUGCGGCUCAGCCUUGAGCAUGACUACCAUAGCCUGUGUGAGCGGCAGCCCAUUGGGCGCCUGCUGUUCCGUGAGUUCUGUGAGACACGCCCAGAGCUGACACGCUGCAUUGCCUUUCUGGAUGGGGUGGCUGAGUAUGAAGUGACCCCUGAUGAGAAGCGGAAGGCGUGUGGGCAGCGGCUAAUGCAGAAUUUCCUGAGCCACACAGGUCCUGACCUCAUCCCUGAGGUUCCCCGGCAGCUAGUGACAAACUGCGCCCAGCAGCUGGAGCAGGGGCCCUGCAAAGACCUCUUCCAGGAGCUCACCCGGCUCACCCACGAGUACCUGAGCAUGGCCCCUUUUGUAGACUACCUCGACAGCAUCUACUUCAACCGUUUCCUGCAGUGGAAGUGGCUGGAAAGGCAGCCAGUGACUAAAAACACCUUCAGGCAGUACCGAGUCCUGGGCAAAGGUGGCUUUGGGGAGGUGUGUGCGUGCCAGGUGCGGGCAACAGGCAAGAUGUAUGCCUGCAAGAAGCUGGAGAAGAAGCGGAUCAAGAAGCGGAAAGGCGAGGCCAUGGCACUCAAUGAGAAGCAGAUACUGGAGAAAGUGAACAGUAGGUUUGUAGUGAGCCUGGCCUACGCCUACGAGACCAAGGAUGCCCUCUGCCUGGUGCUGACACUGAUGAACGGGGGCGACCUCAAGUUCCACAUCUACCACAUGGGCCAGGCGGGCUUCCCUGAGGCGCGGGCCGUCUUCUAUGCCGCCGAGAUCUGCUGUGGCUUGGAGGACCUGCACCGGGAGCGCAUCGUGUACAGGGACCUAAAACCUGAGAACAUCCUGCUGGAUGACCACGGUCACAUCCGCAUCUCCGACCUGGGGCUGGCUGUGCACGUGCCUGAGGGCCAGACCAUCAAAGGCCGUGUGGGUACUGUAGGCUACAUGGCUCCGGAGGUGGUAAAGAACGAACGGUACACAUUCAGCCCAGACUGGUGGGCACUUGGCUGCCUGCUAUAUGAGAUGAUUGCAGGCCAGUCGCCCUUUCAGCAGAGGAAGAAGAAGAUCAAGCGGGAGGAAGUGGAGCGGCUGGUAAAGGAGGUACCCGAGGAGUACUCCGACCGCUUUUCCUUGCAGGCCUGCUCACUCUGCUCCCAGCUUCUUUGCAAGGACCCAGCUGAGCGCCUAGGGUGUCGCGGGGGCGGUGCCCAAGAAGUGAAGGAGCACCCCCUCUUCAAGAAGCUGAACUUCAAGCGGCUGGGAGCUGGCAUGUUGGAGCCGCCCUUCAAGCCUGACCCCCAGGCCAUUUACUGCAAGGAUGUUCUGGACAUUGAGCAGUUCUCUACGGUUAAGGGUGUGGAGCUGGAGCCUACCGACCAAGACUUCUACCAGAAGUUUGCCACGGGCAGCGUGCCCAUCCCCUGGCAGAAUGAGAUGGUGGAGACCGAGUGCUUCCAGGAACUGAAUGUCUUUGGGCUAGAUGGCAUGGUCCCCCCAGACCUGGACUGGAAGGGCCAGCCGCCUGCACCCCCCAAGAAGGGCCUGCUGCAGAGACUCUUCAGCCGCCAGAGGUGAGCAGUGUGGGCUCCCCGUGGGCUGGCCUUGCUGCCUGGCCUCGGGGAGCCACGGGCAGCCCUUCCAUGGCCGAGGCAAGAUGAUUGCUGUGGGAACUGCAGUGACAGUGAGGAAGAGCUCCCCACCCGUCUCGAGUUCCCCACGCAUCUUGAGCUCCCCACCCGCCUCUAGCCCCCAGCUUGAGGCCCCCAUCGGCGGUUGGCGGUAGCAGCUACUCUGAGCGCUGUUUACAGUUUUGCACAGUGGUCUUCCCCAUUGUCCACUCGAGUUGUGGCUGGGGGAACACAGCCUGAGCUGUCCCCAGUGCCCUCUGCCCCUCAGUCCCUGGCCUGGCUGAGUCUGGCGAGGCCUGGGCUGUCCCUGGGACAAGGUGCGUCCCUUCAGCUCUUCUCUGCAGAGCUCGGGGCUUUCUGUAUUUAUGUGUUUGUACGAAUGUAUAUAGCAACCAGAGCGUUCUUAUUACCCAACCUGGGCCUGGCGCCCUAGCCUCAGUUCCCUGGGGCAGCCAGCCCUGGCCUGGGAGGGUCAGGGGCUGGCAGAGGAGCCGCUGCCAAACUCAAGGCUCCUCAGGUUCAGCUCCAUCUGGGCCCCCACGCCCCCAGCACUGUGCUCGCCACCGCAGACCUCCCAAGUGAGAAUCGUGCCUGCCUCUGCUGCCCUGGGCGCAGCCACCCUGUUUUGGGGCCCACUGCUGUCCCUUCUCAACGCUUGUCAGAGUUGGAUUGGGGCCUCUGCUUCACUAGGCCUGUGCCAAAGUGUGACCAGAGAUUGGGCUGACCAUGGGACUCUCAGUCCACUGGCCAGGCUGUCCCAGAUGGGUCUGCCUCUGCCUUCUGGCUCCCAGGGUGCCUCUUCCCUUAUGCUGGGCCCUGUCCUGAAGAUACUUCUUUCAGAAAUGCCGCAGCCCAGGCCGGGGGGGUGUCCCUGGCCAACCCUCAAACAUUCUGCCUCCCCUUGUAACAAUAGACACACAUGCCCAGCAAUAAU